UCAUCUGCUUACCUCAUCACAAAAUUCAGUCUCGUUUAUAAAAAUGAAGUGUUGCCUGAUUUCUAGAACUGCAAAUAGAAGCAAAUUCCGUCUUAUAACUAAAUGUGUUGUAACUGGAUCUUUUGACAGGCCGCUGCCCCAGGAAUGCAAAGGCCCCAUGCAAAGGAGAAAGCCAGCCAAGGCCCGUGCCGAGGAGCCCAGGAAACCCCUCAUUCAGACCCCCAGCCGCUGAGCCUGGUUCCAGAACUCAGAGCUGACAGGAAAAAGGCAACGGCUCUACCGCCUUCUGGCCUCCUAGUCCAUGACAAGACAGCGUGAAACAGACCCAGCAGCCGCAGCAAUCGUACUACAGCAUGUUUGUUGAUGAAAUCAACCAAGAGUCACUGUAAGAAAUGAAAAUGAAAACACAUCUCUUCUGGAACAAGGGAUCCUGGUGGAGUUUUCUCUGGAAGUGAUUCUCAGUUGAGGAUGUGAGCUCUCCACCUUCCUGCUCUGGCCACCAUGCCGGGCAGCUGCCAUGACUCCCAACCAUGAUGGACUCAUCCCUUUGGAACCAUAAGCUCAGAUGAAAGGUAUUCUAUAAUUCGCCCUGGUCGUGGUGUUUUAACACAACAACAGAAAAGUAGCUAAUACGUUUUCUAUAACAGCGGGACAAUCAGGAUGCACCCUGCAAAAGGGAGAAAAAUGUUUCUCUAUAGCUGGAGAGGCCCGGCAAGCAGUAAACUCUUCACAUUAGCUAUCCUAGACAAAUGUCACAGAGAAGCCCACCACCCCACCCAACCACGCCACAGAGGCGGAAUCUUCCCUUCAACAGGCAGGGACAAGGAGUUCCAAAUAUGCUCCAUUUGGGGCGCCAGCAGAAGCCAAGCAGGGAGCUGCCCAAUGACCACCUGCUGCUGCUCAUGUAAAAUGUGCCCUCUGCCCACCAGUCAAGCCCCACUGGGAGUCCAAGGAAGCAGAGUGAGGAAUGUGGAUUUCUACCCUUGUCUGGCGAAGUAAAGCAGUGCCACCCCCUUCUUCUGUGACAAGGGCAUCAGAGGAAGCCAGCUAAAAUGGGUUUAAAUAAAAUGCAUUUCCUUACAGCAUAACAUUAAAUGUCCAGAUUUCAAUCAAAGAGUGCUUAUUAUACCUAGAACCGGGAAGAUCUCAAACUAAAUGAUAGAGCAAUUGACAGAGAUUGACAUGGAGAAGACAGGUGUGUUAGGAUGAUCUAACAACAACAACAACAAAAAUCAAAGCAGCCAUGAAAGAAAAAAAAAAAAAAAACCUCGGUGAGAGACGGCAAACACAUUUGAAACAGAUGAAAUACAGAAAGCCUCAGCAAAGCCCGGAAACUAUUAAAGAAAGAGUCAAAUGGAACUAAAAACACGAUAAUAAAAGCUCAGUAGACUGGCUUAAGAGCAGGACAGCGGGAAGAGAGAACACAGUCAGCAAGCGGAAGACUAAACAAAGACACAGCCCAGCAGGCAACAGACAAAAUAGACUGGAGAAAGGGCUGAGCGGAGACCCACAGGACUGCAGCCAGAGCCGACAUUGGAGCCCUGACAGGAAACUGGUCAAAUAAACAUGGCUGCGAUGUGGGUAGAAACCUAUGGAUCCAAGAACGAGGGGGUCUACACAGGAUAAAGCCCAAAGAAAUGUAUAGCAAAACACAACAGAAUAAAAUACCUGAAAACUAGACAAAGAAAAAAAAAUACCUUAAAGAAAUCAGAGAAAAGCAAUGUCCUACCUAUAAAAGAAAAACUAUGUGAGUGGCAGUGAAUUCCUUUUCUAAGUCCACGGAGGCCUUCUUAUGCUAAUUUUUUUAAAAACAAAACAAAACAAAACCACCAGUCCCAUAUGGUUUAUCUAGAGAAUUCUACCAAACUUUUAAAGUAUUAACACUAAUUCUAUACCUUGUGUUCUAUAAAGCAGAAAGAUGGAUGAGGGACCACUAUAAACUCACCAUAAGUCAGUGUUAUCCUAUACCAUGAUCACAGAUAAUAUUAUCCUGUACCAUAAGCACGGAUAACACUUUAAAAAUCCAGACUAAUAUGUCACAUAAAUGAACUGAAACCCAGAAUCCAGCAACAUAUUAAAAUACUUAAGAGGCUGGGGUAGCUCAGUGGUAGAGCAUGGGUUUAGCAUGGAUAAGCCACAUAAAUUCAAUCCUUAGUCCCCUCAAGAAAAAAAAAAAAAAGAAAGAAUUAUACACCCUGACCAGCUAAUUAGAGGAAGAAAAGAUUGGCUUAAUAUUUGGAAAAACAUCCAAUAUAGAAACUGGUUAAUGAAGAAAAUCACAUAAUUAUUUAAAUGGGUGCAGAGAAGUGUUUGACAAAAUUCAGUAUCAAUAAAUGAUUAGAAAACUGGGAAUGAUGAACUGGGAAUGGGAAUUAGAAAACCCAACUUGAUGAAGAACAACUUCAAAACCCUGCAGCUAAUACACAAAAUAGGGAAAGGCUGGAUGCUUGUCCUCUGAGAUAAAGAACAAGGCAAGGAUGCCUGCGGUCCAUGCUCUUAUUCAACUCAGAAUUGAUAGUGUUAGCCAGAGCCACAAGGCAAGAAAAGACAAGACAUACAAACAGGAGCCUACUCCUACUUGUAUAUGGCAUUCUAAAGGAAUCUAAAAAAACAAAAAACUGUUAAGCCUCCCAACUUACACAUUGUCAGAACAUGGAAUGAAGCUGUGUGAGAUUUCUGAGAGCUUGUGAAUACCAAGCAAAUAAGACAAGUCUUGUGACCUCUGUUUCUCCAUAACAUGGGGUGUUCUUGGAAUGUGCCUUCGUGCCCCUCCCAGGUGUAGUAAACAGGAGUGGGUUUGCUUCAGAUUACACACCAUCUUACGCUGCCAUUCAGAUGAUGUUUCUAAGGACAAGGUGUCCUCCUGGCUGGAGACAGCCCAGCUCAUGUGAACUCUGCUCAUGUGACUUUGCCUAACCCUCAGAAUAUAAAUUAUCUGAUGCCCUGAAUAAAGUUGAACAUUGCAUGA